rnacentral:tRNA from 1 species
GGUCCGAUGGCCGAGUGGUCAGGCACAGGUCUGCAAAACCUGCUACGGCGGUUCAAUUCCGCCUCGGACCUCCA